CAAAUUCUCAUUUGACGGCCUGUCACAUUCACACAGUUAAACAUUCAUACCUGGAAGCUGCCCAGUACAACCACAGCCUGAUCUGCUAGCCACUGAGCAGCUUCACUGGAGGCGGUUGGAGGUGAAGG